rnacentral:rRNA from 1 species
AGAGUUUGAUCCUGGCUCAGAUUGAACGCUGGCGGCAUGCCUUACACAUGCAAGUCGAACGGCAGCACGAGAGCUUGCUCUUGGUGGCGAGUGGCGAACGGGUGAGUAAUAUAUCGGAACGUACCCUAGAGUGGGGGAUAACGUAGCGAAAGUUACGCUAAUACCGCAUACGAUCUACGGAUGAAAGUGGGGGAUCGCAAGACCUCAUGCUCAUGGAGCGGCCGAUAUCUGAUUAGCUAGUUGGUGGGGUAAAAGCUCACCAAGGCGACGAUCAGUAGCUGGUCUGAGAGGACGACCAGCCACACUGGAACUGAGACACGGUCCAGACUCCUACGGGAGGCAGCAGUGGGGAAUUUUGGACAAUGGGCGCAAGCCUGAUCCAGCAAUGCCGCGUGAGUGAAGAAGGCCUUCGGGUUGUAAAGCUCUUUUGUCAGGGAAGAAACGGUGGACUCUAAUACAGAUCACUAAUGACGGUACCUGAAGAAUAAGCACCGGCUAACUACGUGCCAGCAGCCGCGGUAAUACGUAGGGUGCAAGCGUUAAUCGGAAUUACUGGGCGUAAAGCGUGCGCAGGCGGUUGUGCAAGACAGAUGUGAAAUCCCCGGGCUCAACCUGGGAAUUGCAUUUGUGACUGCACGGCUAGAGUGUGUCAGAGGGGGGUAGAAUUCCACGUGUAGCAGUGAAAUGCGUAGAGAUGUGGAGGAAUACCGAUGGCGAAGGCAGCCCCCUGGGAUAACACUGACGCUCAUGCACGAAAGCGUGGGGAGCAAACAGGAUUAGAUACCCUGGUAGUCCACGCCCUAAACGAUGUCUACUAGUUGUCGGGUCUUAAUUGACUUGGUAACGCAGCUAACGCGUGAAGUAGACCGCCUGGGGAGUACGGUCGCAAGAUUAAAACUCAAAGGAAUUGACGGGGACCCGCACAAGCGGUGGAUGAUGUGGAUUAAUUCGAUGCAACGCGAAAAACCUUACCUACCCUUGACAUGUCUGGAAUCCUUGAGAGAUCAGGGAGUGCUCGAAAGAGAAUCAGAACACAGGUGCUGCAUGGCUGUCGUCAGCUCGUGUCGUGAGAUGUUGGGUUAAGUCCCGCAACGAGCGCAACCCUUGUCAUUAGUUGCUACGAAAGGGCACUCUAAUGAGACUGCCGGUGACAAACCGGAGGAAGGUGGGGAUGACGUCAAGUCCUCAUGGCCCUUAUGGGUAGGGCUUCACAUGUCAUACAAUGGUACAUACAGAGGGCCGCCAACCCGCGAGGGGGAGCUAAUCCCAGAAAGUGUAUCGUAGUCCGGAUUGUAGUCUGCAACUCGACUACAUGAAGUUGGAAUCGCUAGUAAUCGCGGAUCAGCAUGUCGCGGUGAAUACGUUCCCGGGUCUUGUACACACCGCCCGUCACACCAUGGGAGCGGGUUUCACCAGAAGUGGGUAGCCUAACCGCAAGGAGGGCGCUCACCACGGUGGGAUUCGUGACUGGGGUGAAGUCGUAACAAGGUA